rnacentral:rRNA from 1 species
ACGAACGCUGGCGGCGUGCCUAAUACCUGCAAGUUGAGCGCUGAAGGUUGGUACUUGUACCAACUGGAUGAGCAGCGAACGGGUGAGUAACGCGUGGGGAAUCUGCCUUUGAGCGGGGGACAACAUUUGGAAACGAAUGCUAAUACCGCAUAAAAACUUUAAACACAAGUUUUCAGUUUGAAAGAUGCAAUUGCAUCACUCAAAGAUGAUCCCGCGUUGUAUUAGCUAGUUGGUGAGGUAAAGGCUCACCAAGGCGAUGAUACAUAGCCGACCUGAGAGGGUGAUCGGCCACAUUGGGACUGAGACACGGCCCAAACUCCUACGGGAGGCAGCAGUAGGGAAUCUUCGGCAAUGGACGAAAGUCUGACCGAGCAACGACGCGUGAGUGAAGAAGGUUUUCGGAUCGUAAAACUCUGUUGGUAGAGAAGAACGUUAGUGAGAGUGGAAAGCUCAUCAAGUGACGGUAACUACCCAGAAAGGGACGGCUAACUACGUG